UGAGGAAUAUUGGUCAAUGGGCGCAAGCCUGAACCAGCCAUCCCGCGUGCAGGAAGACGGCCCUAUGGGUUGUAAACUGCUUUUCCAGGGGGAGAAUUUUUCUGUCGUGACAGGAAUUGACGGUACCCUGGGAAUAAGCAUCGGCUAACUCCGUGCCAGCAGCCGCGGUAAUACGGAGGAUGCGAGCGUUAUCCGGAUUUAUUGGGUUUAAAGGGUGCGUAGGCGGAUUGAUAAGUCAGUGGUGAAAACCUGCAGCUUAACUGUAGACUUGCCGUUGAUACUGUCAGUCUUGAGUGUGGUCAAGGUAGGCGGAAUGUGUAAUGUAGCGGUGAAAUGCUUAGAUAUUACACAGAACACCGAUUGCGAAGGCAGCUUACUGGGCCAUUACUGACGCUGAUGCACGAAAGCGUGGGGAUCGAACAGG
rnacentral:rRNA from 1 species